UUCCGGUUGAUCCUGCCGGAGGUUACUGCUAUCGGUGUUCGGCUAAGCCAUGCAAGUCAUAUGUUCCUCGUGAACAUGGCAUACUGCUCAGUAACACGUGGAUAACCUGCCCUUGGGUCUGGGAUAACCCCGGGAAACUGGGGAUAAUACCGGAUGACGCAUAUGUGCUGGAAUGCUUUAUGCGUAAAACGGAUUCGUCCGCCCAAGGAUGGGUCUGCGGCCUAUCAGGUAGUAGUGGGUGUAAUGUACCUACUAGCCAACAACGGGUACGGGUUGUGAGAGCAAGAGCCCGGAGAUGGAUUCUGAGACAUGAAUCCAGGCCCUACGGGGCGCAGCAGGCGCGAAAACUUUACAAUGCGGGAAACCGUGAUAAGGGAACACCGAGUGCCAGCAUCAUAUGCUGGCUGUCCAGAUGUGUAAACUACAUCUGUUAGCAAGGGCCGGGCAAGACCGGUGCCAGCCGCCGCGGUAACACCGGCGGCCCGAGUGGUGACCGUUAUUAUUGAG
rnacentral:rRNA from 1 species